UACGUAGGGUGCAAGCGUUGUCCGGAAUUAUUGGGCGUAAAGAGCUCGUAGGCGGUCUGUCGCGUCUGCUGUGAAAACUCGGGGCUUAACCCCGGGCCUGCAGUGGGUACGGGCAGACUAGAGUGCGGUAGGGGAGACUGGAAUUCCUGGUGUAGCGGUGAAAUGCGCAGAUAUCAGGAGGAACACCGGUGGCGAAGGCGGGUCUCUGGGCCGUAACUGACGCUGAGGAGCGAAAACAUGGGGAGCGAACAGG
rnacentral:rRNA from 1 species